AGUGGCAUUGAAACACCGGUUCCUGUUCGAUUACCGAAGUUAAGCAAAGUCGAAUUUGGUCAGUACCUAAAUGGGUAACCGCUUGGGAAUACCAUGUGCUA